UGGAGGAGCCAAUUCGAGCUUUUAUAUAUCUCCAACAAAAUUGUACUAAUAAAAGCUGUCAAUUGAAGAAAAAACGAUACCGAGAUUAAUUAGUUGGUGUUGCAGUGCAAAUAAUCCUCAGACAAAGCUUUCGAUUUUUCGUGGGAGCCAAGGAUGCAUUAAUUAACUCUAUGCUGACUAAGAUGCUUUAUUAUUUUCUGAUAUCAGUUUUCGUGGGCGCCAAGGAUGCAUUAAUUCAAUGAUAAAUUAGGGACAAAGACAAUAAGUUGGCAGGGGUGGUUUUGUCGUUGACUGCAGGCAGAUUAAGACCUUGUCAACAUGGACAGAUCUACGCAGGAGAGCAAACACUAAAUAAUAAUAAGAAGAAUAAUAAUAACGGUAAAUUAGAAAAAAAUCUUCAAUCACAAUGUUAAUUUUGUAUGUAAUCCUCAUGUCUAAAAAACUUUGU